ensembl:lncRNA
GGCAGUUUUGCUUAUCGCGGUGACAUCACCAAUCAAUAACUCCUGUUCUGAGAAAAAGUCAACAAAAAGGCUGCUGAUUAAAUCAGCGACGGACUCCUUUCAAGGUCCUGAUGGAAUGAGAAAACACAGGAAGCUGGAUGCACAAUGCCUGUAUAUCCUUUCCUGAACAUUGUGUAAACUUCAUAAGAUUUGGGCUGCGUGGGUCAACAGGAAUAAACAUCAACGGUCUUGUCCUAAGCUGUCUUAGUUUGCUGCGGGCAGCUGGAAGGAGAGUAAGGCAGGCUGUGCUCCCCUUGGGAAAGGUUCUGGUUCAAGAGAGAUGAUUUUGCGACCACGCUCUGAUCAUUGAGCCAUUGCUUAUAUGCUCCUGGCUGGGAGAGGGCUUCUGAAGGGCAAAUGUAAAGCCCAGUGAGCUGCUGUCAGCCUUGCUGCAGGGGGAGAUGUUGAAGAACGCCAGAGCAGAGGCGUCCCACUCCUCGUCUCAUUGUUCCUGUCACUCCACUCUCGGUAAUUAAUAUCCCCCGUUAAAUACAGACACUGUAAAUCAUAACAUGGCCAUUAUAUCUAUGGGGAGCCGUCAUGCAUCAACUGCAGACUUUGAUUCAUGAGUCUUAGAUCAGUUGACCCAGGUUAAGUACAUAUUUGAUGAGUGUAAAUAGGAGACUACAUCCCUGGAUUUUCACACAAAGCUUUCCAUGACCUUGCACACACUUGGUUGCUGCUAAUGGUAGAAGGUUUGAUAGCACUGAACUCAAUGUCUGUCAAUUUAUUAUUUCUUUCUUUAGAAUUAACUUUCAAAUGAACAAAAAUGAACAUGAAAUAAUACAAGCCCUCCUUUAAAGAUUGCUGUUCUCUCAUUGUUUGGAGGUAAAAUCACAGCAUGCUACAAGCCCACAAGGCCAAAACUCACUGUCCCAUGGUAGAAAGAACUCCCAACCUUCACUCGUGCUGCAAAAUCUGUGAGCACUUAACUAACUAAUAAGCCUAUUUGGAUUUUGAAUAGAAACUUGGAUAUAAAAGUACGUAAUAACACAAUCUGCACCAGGAAAUCACAAUUGUCAAUGAACACAAUCUAAUAAAUUCCAGAUGGACAAAAUCAAGUCCUGCCCUAUAUUUUUUCUCGUUUAAGAAGCUGUUUCACUCAAAUAUAAGUCACAUUAAGGAAGAAAAGACGGUCACAACUUCUGUUUCAUGUGACUUUAAGGAAAAUGUUUAGUGGGCAAACAGAUAGCAGUGUAAAUGGGGGUGGGGUGGCAGUAUAGUAUAGCGCAAGGUGCUGCUUGGAAGAAGUCACCCGCUGGAACACAAUUCAUUUCCGAUGAACGUUGG